AAUAUGAGGCUGGCCGUCCAUGGCUGUGAUUGGUUGGCUGGCCCUCUUUAGACCUGGAAUGUUGAGUCCUUUAAAAAGGAAUGAGGAAGGAAGGAUCAAACUUCCGUGGCCAGGCUUGCAUGGCAAGCGCUUUACUGCCUCAGUCAUCUCGCCCAUCUGUUCUAAAGAAAAGUCACCUUCCAGCCCUGCUGUAAAACCUUGAUACCCACCGACAUCCUAAAAAGAACACCCUGUAAACUCACAUGCAUCUUCACAAAGCUAUCUGGCAAAUAAAACUUAAUCCUCCUUUAUCCACCCCUUCUCAAGCUUCUCCAGUUCACCUGAACUGGAAAGGUCCCUGUUCCUCUCAGCACCCUCUUCUACCUGGCAGUCAGUCCUUACUCAACCUAGGAAAAGUGCUCUAGCCUUCCCCUCUAGUCUGGUGAGCUGCUUGGCAGAUCCUCCUCCUCUCACCUUCCGUUCUCAAUCCCCACCUCCACCCGCGACUCCACCACCGAGUCAUCCUUCCUUUAGUUUUUGGAUGAUCACCGCAAAGACCCCCAAUUCUUCCCCGCAUCUGCCACCAAGCUUGCGAACCGGACCCUCAGCAGCUUCUGCCUCCACCCCCUCCGGGUCACGUGCUCCCAGCUUGGGCACCGACGGACUAUUUCUCUUUUUCCGCGGAAGAACAUACCAAACUCAUAGCCUUGGACUUAAGUUGUAUCACGCCAUU
rnacentral:lncRNA from 1 species